rnacentral:rRNA from 1 species
CUACGGGAGGCAGCAGGGGGGAAUCUUGUCACAAUGGAGGAAACUCUUGAUGCAGCGAUGCCGCGCUGAGUGAAGAAGGCUCUUGGGUGUGUAAAGCUCUUUCGUCGGGGAAGAAGAAUGACUGUACCUGAA